rnacentral:rRNA from 1 species
GACGAACGCUGGCGGCGUGCUUAACACACGCAAGUCGAACGGAAAGGCCCUGCUUUUGUGGGGUGCUCGAGUGGCGAACGGGUGAGUAACACGUGAGUAACCUGCCCUUGACUUUGGGAUAACUUCAGGAAACUGGGGCUAAUACCGGAUAGGAGCUCCUGCUGCAUGGUGGGGGUUGGAAAGUUUCGGCGGUUGGGGAUGGACUCGCGGCUUAUCAGCUUGUUGGUUGGGUAGUGGCUUACCAAGGCUUUGACGGGUAGCCGGCCUGAGAGGGUGACCGGCCACAUUGGGACUGGGAUACGGCCCAGACUCCUACGGGAGGCAGCAGUGGGGAAUAUUGCACAAUGGGCGGAAGCCUGAUGCAGCAACGCCGCGUGCGGGAUGACGGCCUUCGGGUUGUAAACCGCUUUCGCCUGUGACGAAGCGUGAGUGACGGUAAUGUGUAAAGAAGCACCGGCUAACUACGUG